rnacentral:rRNA from 1 species
UACGUAGGGUGCGAGCGUUGUCCGGAAUUAUUGGGCGUAAAGAGCUCGUAGGCGGUCUGUCGCGUCGAUCGUGAAAACUUGGGGCUUAACCCUGAGCUUGCGGUCGAUACGGGCAUGACUGGAGUUCGGCAGGGGAGACUGGAAUUCCUGGUGUAGCGGUGAAAUGCGCAGAUAUCAGGAGGAACACCGGUGGCGAAGGCGGGUCUCUGGGCCGAUACUGACGCUGAGGAGCGAAAGCGGGGGGAGCGAACAGG